rnacentral:rRNA from 1 species
GACGAACGCUGGCGGCGUGCUUAACACAUGCAAGUCGAACGGAAAGGCCCUGCUUUUGUGGGGUGCUGGAGUGGCGAACGGGUGAGUAACACGUGAGUAUCCUGCCCUUGUCUUUGGGAUAACUUCAGGAAACUGGGGCUAAUAUCGGAUAGGAGCUCCUGCUGCAUGGUGGGGGUUGGAAAGUUUCGGCGGUCGGGGUUGGACUCGCGGCUUAUGAGCUAGUUGGUGGGGUAGUGGCUUACCAAGGGUUUGACGGGUAGCCGGCUGGAGAGGGUGACCGGCCACAUGGGGACUAAGAGACGGAGCAGACUCCUACGGUAGGCAGUAGUGGGGAAUAUUACACAGUGGGCGGAAGCCUGAUACAGCAGCGCCGCGUGCGUGAUGACGGCCUUCGGGUUGUAAACCGCUUUCGCCUGUGACGAAGCGUGAGUGACGGUAAUGGGUAAAGAAGCACCGGCUAACUACGUG